UACGGAGGGUGCGAGCGUUGUCCGGAAUCAUUGGCGUAAAGGGCGCGUAGGUGGCCGUGGUCAGCGUGCGGUGAAACGGCUCGGGGACUCAACCCCGAGUCGGCCGUGCGAACUGCUGGGCUUGGAGCACUGUAGAGGCAGGCGGAAUUCCGGGUGUAGCGGUGGAAUGCGUAGAGAGAUCCGGAAGAAGCACCGGUGGCGAAGGCGCCGUGCUGGGCAUGAGCUGACGCUGAUGCGCGACGAGCGAUGGGGAGCCAAACAGG
rnacentral:rRNA from 1 species